AAUAAGCGCAGCCAUGAGUUUCCGCGUCCUGAUCGUCCGUCUUAUUUGAAAUUUUUUUAUAAUUAGUAUUUUUAUUGCUAUGAGAUGAUAAAACAUGAAUAGUACUUUACUCGUGACUUAUGUUUUUAAUUUUUUUAAAAAAAAUUUCAAAUAAGACGAAUGGUUAAAAUUGGAUGCGAAAAACCAUGAAUACACUUAUU
rfam:Oryza meridionalis cultivar OR44 (W2112) chromosome 1, whole genome shotgun sequence.